CUUCACUUUUCUAAGAGCUGGAGCUGGACCACAAUCCUGCAUCUAUUUGCUGUGUGUUGUUUUGGAGCACAGGCCUUGAUUAUUAACAUCCUAGAUUAUCUAAAUUACUUAAUAGUUAGCAGCAUGUAAUAGCUUUUAAAAAAGAAAUGGGGGGCAGCUGUGCGUUGUUUUUUAAUUUGCAUUUAUCAAAACAGCCCUGGCAAAAUAGUCAGUAUUUGAAAAUCUAAACUUCAGGCAGUUUUCCUAACUGUCAAGGGGCCCACUUGAGAAGUCCUGAGCCAAUGGCAAGCCUCGGGAUUCAAGCACAAAGGCCCCAAAUCUACUACCUGUUUCACAGCUUAAUGAGCCACUCCACAGGCAAACAUUCAGGAAACAUGAGCAAGGAAUGGGAAAUAUGAGGAAAGAGCAGUUUAGGUAUCUUUCCAAGGUAUUCUAUUCAAUUCCAAAAUGAAAUAAUGAAACGAAAAUAUUUGAGUAUACAUUAUUGAACCAAGGUUCAGACAGGAAGAAAUGCAAGUCAUUAAAUUCCUAUUUGUAAAGUAACAAGGAAACCGAAUGAUCACUAAGAUCCCUUUCAUCUGCAAAAUAUUCUGAUUGAAAUUAGAGGAAAAUUGCCUUUCUGUUUUCUUUUCUCUGAGAUCAGAGAAUCAAUGUUCAACAUACCCCACAGUGUUCUGAAAUCUCAAUCUUCCUUUUGUUACCGCAAAUUUAUUCAUUCAAUCAUCAAAGAGCUGUUGAGUAACGCUAUGUGCACUGGCUUAAAUAGCUUUGGGGCUGGGUUUGAAAUGGAAGGAAAGCUGACAUCCUUGCUUUAUACUCUCCCUUCAGCAGUCAGCCCUUUAAAAUCCCCGGAUGUGGAGCAGGCCAGAGGCCGAGUAGUUGGGUUCACACGCUCUGCUUCCGCUUCUGCGGCCCAGGGUUUCGCCGGUUCAGAUCCUGGGCACAGACAUGGCACCACUCAUCAGGCCAUUCUCAGGCGGCAUCCCACAUAGCAGAACCAGGAGGACCUACAGGUGGUCAUAAGAAGGGGACCGGCAAGGAGGUCAGCCUUGCAGACUCAGCUGAUCAACUGCAGGAGGCAUUGGCCUUCCCCUUCUCAAAUCUGACGUCUGAGACUCCAAAACUGAAGCCCCGCCUUUUCCCCGGUGUCACAGGCCUGCGUAUCAAUCUCUCUUCCUGAGAAAUGGCUAAGGAAAUAAAAUAGCACAGAAGCCUCUGUGUUCUCCUAGUUAGCUGGCCACUGCAGAAGGCCAGAGGCCAAGGGUUGCUGGUGGAAGUGCAUUUGUGCAGGACUCAUCGAUCAUCCUAGGAGCUCUGCGGAGUCAUCCCUGUGGGUGUCAGGGGAGUGGGAGAUUCUCACGAGACCUAUGCAUGGGGACAAGCGAGUUAGGGAUUGGUGGGCACCCUCAGGACACCCUGCUGCCCAACACGUUACAUAUGCCCCACAGCAUGGAUUUCCCAUAUUCCAGUCUCACCAAGAGCACACCGUCAGGUUACCAGGAUCCUGGGUGACUGCUGGCAAGCUCUGGUCCUCUAUGGGUCUGUGAGCUUUUCUGAAAGGAGAGGGUGGGAUUAGAUGAUAUCAAAGGACCAAUCUAGCCCUAAAAUGUCCCUUAAAAAAACUGAAAGUGGGGCCAGCGCAGUAGCCUAGUGGUUAAGUUCACACACUUCUCUUCAGUAGCCCGGGGUUCACAGGUUCCCACCCUGCGCACAGACUUACACGCUGCUCAUCAAGCCAUGCUGUGGCAGCAUCCCACACACAAAAUAGAGGAAGAUGGGCCCAGAUCUUAGCUCAGGGCCAGUCUUCCUCAUCAAAAAAAAAAAAAAAAAGUGAAAGUAUACAACUAAGCAAACUAAGGUCGCCCCUUAGUCUUCAAAAUCAAAUGCUUCCCAAGAUGCAGAUUUGCAAACACAUCCACCUUCCUACCUCCUUGCCUGAAAAAUUGCAGAAGACACAUAAAAUUUGCUUGGCUACUACCUACAUUUUAAGGGUCACUCCAUCCCUAUGGUUGAAUUUUUCAGAUCUCCUACUAUAGUCCUAGUAAAAAUGGAAUCUAAAGUAAAACUAAAUAAAUACAUAAGCAAUGGCAGGGAGGCCCAGUGUGGACAGAAUGGCUUGCUUAGCCACUGCCUGAGCCUCAUAGCUCCUGCCUUAUUUGGGUCAUUUUGGUUUGUGUGUAGAAAUGUCCUCUUUUAAAGGAAACCCUACCGUGCAUUCACUCAAAACUCCAUCUAACCUUGAAUUCAAAGCAAUGUUUCCAAGCUUCAAACACAUGAAGUGCUCUUCUGCAGGCAGCCUGGCCUUCAGGCCUAACUGUCAAGUUUUUGUUUACAUUCCUUCUAGGAAUGGCCUUUUACUAAGCUCCCACUUGAGCACAAGCU
rnacentral:lncRNA from 1 species